GGGGUCUCGGGCAGGGGCGGGGAGCUUACCGACCUCCCGCCCCCGCUGCGCGCGUUUCUGGCCCUGCCAGUGUCUCCGCCGGUUGAAAGCGCGUGUCUGCGUCGGGUUCUGUUGGAGUGCGUUCGGUGCGCCGUGGGUCCGCGCUGCUUCCACCCAACUUCCUGUUAGUUUCUCUCCUGUCACAAUGGCAUGAUCUCGGCUCACUGCGACCUCUGCUUCCUGGGUUCAAGGAUUCUCCUGCCUCAGCCUCCCAA
rnacentral:lncRNA from 1 species